GAUGAACGCUAGCUACAGGCUUAACACAUGCAAGUCGCGGGGCAGCAUGGGGGUUGCUUGCAACCCCUGAUGGCGACCGGCGCACGGGUGAGUAACGCGUAUCCAACCUGCCCUUCACCACGGGAUAACCCGGCGAAAGUCGGACUCAUACCGUAUGUUGUCCAUUGACGGCAUCCGAGUUAGACGAAAGGCUUGGCGGAGAAAGGAUGGGGAUGCGUCCGAUUGGCUUGACGGCGGGGUAACGGCCCACCGUGGCUACGAUCGGUAGGGGUUCUGAGAGGAAGGUCCCCCACACUGGAACUGAGACACGGUCCAGACUCCUACGGGAGGCAGCAGUGAGGAAUGUUGGUCAAGGGGCGUAAGCCUGAACCAGCCAAGUAGCGUGCAGGAUGCCGGCCCUAGGGGUUGUAAACUGCUUUUAUGCGGGGAUAAAGUGGCCCACGUGUGAGCUUUUGCAGGUACCGAAUGAAUAAGGACCGGCUAAUUACGUG
rnacentral:rRNA from 1 species